AUGUAAAUAGCACAUUAAUUGAAUUUCCCCAUGAUAUGGUAGUAGAUUGAAAAGUGCUGCUGAAACAACUAGCCUGGAGAGACAACUAAUACAAAGAUCUAUAGCAGAAGCAUCACAAACAUCUGUGGGAAGGAACAGAAAGUUUUCCAUGCGUCAUGGAGGAAACCAUCUGGAAAAUGAAAAGGAAAUGAUGGCAGUUGUGAAAACACAUCAAGGAUAGCUAACGUGAAAUGACGGGAUCCAGCCAACUCAAGGGAUUUUGUUUAACUACUUAAAAGAGAUAUCAAAGGCUUUAUGACAUCUUGCUGCUGCAUCUUCAAAUCUACCGCUAUAGGCAUGAGAUCUAAAAACUCAUUGCCAGGACUUUGGUCUGAAGGCACAUAAAGCCGUCACCUUGCUGAAGCUAAGCAAGUUAGAAUCUGAUCAGUGACUGACUGGAAGACGUCCUGGGUAACCAAAAGGUGUCACCGUGAGUUUGACUGAAGAACAGUAAGA